UACGAAGGGUGCUAGCGUUGUUCGGAAUCACUGGGCGUAAAGCGCUCGUAGGCGGUUGAGUCAGUCGGAGGUGAAAUCCCGGAGCUCAACUUCGGAACUGCCCUUGAUACAGCACGACUUGAGUCCGGAAGAGGUGGGUGGAAUUCCUAGUGUAGAGGUGAAAUUCGUAGAUAUUAGGAAGAACACCGGUGGCGAAGGCGGCCCACUGGUCCGGUACUGACGCUGAGGUGCGAAAGCGUGGGGAGCAAACAGG
rnacentral:rRNA from 1 species